rnacentral:rRNA from 1 species
AAAGCUUCUAGCCAGAAAUAAGGUGCCCGUACCGCAAACCGACACAGGUAGGCGGGGAGAGAAUCCUAAGGUGCGCGGGAAAACCCUCGUUAAGGAACUCGGCAAAAUGUAUCCGUAACUUCGGGAAAAGGAUAGCCAACUUUCGUGAAAUCCCUAGCGGAUGGAGCGAGGGGGGGCGACAGAAGAGAGGCCCAAGCGACUGUUUACCAUAAACACAGGUGCUUGCUAAAGAGAAAUCUGACGUAUAAGUGCUGACACCUGCCCGGUGCUGGAAGGUUAAGAGGAGGAGUUAGGAGCAAUCCGAAGCCCUGAAUUGAAGCCCCAGUAAACGGCGGCCGUAACAAUAACGGUCCUAAGGUAGCGAAAUUCCUUGUCGGGUAAGUUCCGACCCGCACGAAAGGUGUAACGACUUGGGCACUGUCUCAACGAGGGACCCGGUGAAAUUGAAAUACCUGUGAAGAUGCAGGUUACCCGCGACUGGACAGAAAGACCCCAUGGAGCUUUACUGCAACCUGAUAUUGAUUUUCGGUAAAUAAUGUACAGGAUAGGUGGGAGACGGAGAAGAAGGAACGCUAGUUUCUUUGGAGUCGAUGUUGGGAUACCACCCUUUAUUUACUGGAAAUCUAACUGAAGACGUAACAAAUCUCAAGACAGUUUCAGGCGGGCAGUUUGACUGGGGCGGUCGCCUCCCAAAAUGUAACGGAGGCGCCCAAAGGUUCCCUCAGCGCGGUCAGAAAUCGCGCGAAGAGUGCAAAGGCAGAAGGGAGCUUAACUGCGAGACAGACACGUCGAGCAGGUACGAAAGUAGGGCUUAGUGAUCCGGUGGUACCGCGUGGAAGGGCCAUCGCUCAACGGAUAAAAGCUACCCUGGGGAUAACAGGCUAAUCUCUCCCAAGAGUCCAUAUCGACGGGGAGGUUUGGCACCUCGAUGUCGGCUCAUCACAUCCUGGGGCUGAAGCAGGUCCCAAGGGUUGGGCUGUUCGCCCAUUAAAGUGGUACGUGAGCUGGGUUCAGAACGUCGUGAGACAGUUCGGUCCAUAUCCAUCGCGGGCGAAAGAAACUUGAAGGGAUCUGCUCCUAGUACGAGAGGACCGGAGUGGACGAACCAAUGGUGUACCAAUUAUUGCGCCAGCAGUACAGUUGGGUAGCUACGUUCGGAAAGGAUAAACGCUGAAAGCAUCUAAGCGUGAAACCAGCCUUAAGAUGAGGUUUCUCACAGAGUAAUCUGGUAAGACCCCUUGUAGACGACAAGGUAGAUAGGUCGGGAGUGGAAGUGCAGAAAUGCAUGCAGCGGACCGAUACCAAUAGGUCGAGGGCUUGAC